CCAGCCGGUGGCAUAGUUCUC
rnacentral:miRNA from 1 species